GGCAUUCAUGUUGUUUCUUUUCUUUAUGCAUGAAUUAUAUUAUGGGGUGUCGUCCAUUUCUCUAUUUUUUUUCAUUUCUGUUCUCUUUUUUUCCCGGUAGAAGUGGGUGUUUCUACAUAGUUUUUCUUUUCUUUUUCUUGCAUUUGCCCUUUUUCCAACAUUUCUUCUAAGGAUUACCACCCCAAACUUAUCUUUUUGCACAAAUUUUACACUACAACAGUCAUGCCGAGCGAGGGUAAGAAGUGU
rnacentral:lncRNA from 1 species